GAUCCUGGCUCAGGAUGAACGCUAGCUACAGGCUUAACACAUGCAAGUCGAGGGGCAGCAUUUUAGUUUGCUUGCAAACUAAAGAUGGCGGCCGGCGCACGGGUGAGUAACACGUAUCCAACCUGCCGAUAACUCUGGGAUAGCCUUUCGAAAGAAAGAUUAAUACCGGAUGGCAUAGGAUUAUCGCACGAUAAUCCUAUUAAAGAAUUUCGAUUAUCGAUGGGGAUGCGUUCCAUUAGGUAG
rnacentral:rRNA from 1 species